UUCUUUAUAUUUUUUUUCUUUUCUGCUUUUAAAUUCCUAACUCUAUCAAACCCAGUAACCCUUUAUAGCCUUCUCUUGUUACUCCGUUGUUUUAUUGCUAGAAUAGCUUUCAAUCUAAGACAUCCUUUCAUGGCAUCAACACUGUUCUCCACAUUCACUAUUAUUUCAUAUAGUUCUUAAAUGUUACUCAAGGUGUUUUCAAUGCCAAAUAAAACUGAACUCUAUAGUCAUAUUGCCGACACCUAUGCAAUUCAACUGAACUCUAUUUCGAUCCAGUACUUGGAAACUGUGUCUUGAAGGCCUAGAAUGCGUUUUCAAAGCCAAAUUAGCACCCAACUCAUCAAAACUGAGUCUCACACUCGCAUAUAUUAUGGCUCCUUUGUUAAGCCCACAAAGUGUGAAUCAAUGAAAAAUGACAACAAAUCCUCCCUCGAGCCCCUACUUCACUUUCAUUUCUUCACUUCCAUUCUCAGUAGUGUGAUUUAUUGAAGAAUGGACUGAGAAUAGUGAAGAAUACUACCCUGAAACCUUGGUGCCUCAUUCUUCAGUGGCUCAAGACAUGCUAGAGGCAAAAAUCAAUUAAUCAGUUUGCUAUUUAGAAGCUUGAAGUUGCCAGACAUAAUACCUAUUACAAUUUGCUUUUACCUUUUGACAUGUGUCACUAGUGGGCUUGUCAGAAAUUGCACUAAAAUAACAGUAAAAAGGGUUAGUCCUAACUAGACCAAAUAAAGAAAAAAAAGCUCUAGGUCUAAUUGGAGAUUGCCCAAUAGUUCAAUGGCCAAUUUGGCCUUUGUCACUAGGAAAAUUUGACCAUUAAAACUGUACCAAAUAUUUUUUAAAUAAAAUAUAAAUAGCACUUCCAAGUUUUCCAAAAGUAACAAAUGGAACUUAGACAGCUACUCCACACUUGCAGGGACUAUUUCAUUAAUUGUUCCAAUUCUUAUGUGUUAUGUUGGUAGGAAUUCAUCCUUACAAGGCUCUCAAACAAGCGGCUCUUCUGAGAACACAUUUACGCUUCGCAGCAUAAAUGAGUAGAUAGCAAAAUGCCAUUUGUUUUAGCUUUAACUUGGAUUCAAAGGUCAGCCCAUAGUUAUAAAGGCUCAAGGCGCACUACGGCACCAAAAGGUCCUGGAGCCUAGGAGCAAGGCAUGCUUGAGCAAGGUGAGGAGCAAAAAAAAUCAAAGUCAAAUAAAUAUGAAUAUUUCAUCAAAUUUUAAAUAAUAUAAAACUAAAAAU
rnacentral:misc_RNA from 1 species